CUCCGGCAGACCCUCCCUCCCAAACCCUCCUACCUCCUGGACAGCAUCCAUGUUGAAGCUGCCUUCAACAUGGAUGCUGUCCAGGAAGUAGGAGGGUUUGGGAGGGAGGGUCUGCCGGAG